rnacentral:rRNA from 1 species
UACGAAGGGUGCUAGCGUUGUUCGGAAUCACUGGGCGUAAAGCGCGCGUAGGCGGCUUUUCAAGUCAGGGGGUGAAAUCCCAGAGCUUAACUCUGGAAUUGCCUUUGAAACUGAGAAGCUGGAGUGUCGGAGGGGAUAGCGGAAUUGCUAAUGUAGAGGUGAAAUUCGUAGAUAUUAGCAGGAACACCGGUGGCGAAGGCGGCUAUCGUGGACGACAACUGACGCUGAGGCGCGAAAGCGUGGGGAGCAAACAGGAUU